CCUACGGGAGGCAGCAGGGAGGAAUAUUGGGCAAUGGACGGGAGACUGAACCAGCCAAGCCGCGUGAGGGAUGAAGGUACAGAGAAUGGUAAACCUCUUUUGUAAGGGAACAAAGGCGGGGACGUGUCCCCGGAUGCGUGUACCUGAAGAAUAAGAAUCGGCUAACUCCGUGCCAGCAGCCGCGGUAAACCGGAGGAGGCGAGCGUUAUCCGGAUGUAUUGGGUUAAAAGGGUGCGCGGGCGGUCUGGUAAGUCAGCGGUCAAAGCCCGGGGCUCAACCCCGGCCCGCCGUUGAGACUGCCAGUCUGGAGUUGGCGAGAGGUAUGCGGAAUGCGCGGUGUAGCGGUGAAAUGCAUAGAUAUCGCGCAGAACUCCGAUUGCGAAGGCAGCAUGCCGGCUCGAAACUGACGCUGAGGCACGAAAGCGUGGGUAUCGAACAGGAUUAGAUACCCUAGUAGUC
rnacentral:rRNA from 1 species